AGUGAACGCUGGCGGUAGGCCUAACACAUGCAAGUCGAACGGCAGCACAGUAAGAGCUUGCUCUUACGGGUGGCGAGUGGCGGACGGGUGAGGAAUACAUCGGAAUCUACUUUUUCGUGGGGGAUAACGUAGGGAAACUUACGCUAAUACCGCAUACGACCUACGGGUGAAAGCAGGGGAUCUUCGGACCUUGCGCGAUUGAAUGAGCCGAUGUCGGAUUAGCUAGUUGGCGGGGUAAAGGCCCACCAAGGCGACGAUCCGUAGCUGGUCUGAGAGGAUGACCAACCACAGUGGAAAUGGGAAAGGGUCCAGACUCCGACGGGAGGCAGAAGGGGGGAAAUUUGGAAAAGGGGGGAAAGCAUGACCCAGCCAUACCGGGGGGGGGAAGAAGGCCUUCGGGUUGUAAAGCCUUUUUGUUGGGAAAGAAAAGCAGAAGGUUAAUACCCCGCUGUUUUGACGGUACCCAAAAAAUAAGCACCGGAUAACUUCGG
rnacentral:rRNA from 1 species